rnacentral:rRNA from 1 species
AGAGUUUGAUCAUGGCUCAGAACGAACGCUGGCGGCAGGCCUAACACAUGCAAGUCGAGCGCACCUUCGGGUGAGCGGCGGACGGGUUAGUAACGCGUGGGAACAUAGCCUUUUCUACGGAAUAGCCUCGGGAAACUGAGAGUAAUACCGUAUAAGCCCUUCGGGGGAAAGAUUUAUCGGGAAAGGAUUGGCCCGCGUUAGAUUAGAUAGUCGGUGGGGUAAUGGCCUACCAAGUCUACGAUCUAUAGCUGGUUUUAGAGGAUGAUCAGCAACACUGGGACUGAGACACGGCCCAGACUCCUACGGGAGGCAGCAGUGGGGAAUCUUAGACAAUGGGCGCAAGCCUGAUCUAGCCAUGCCGCGUGUGUGAUGAAGGUCUUAGGAUCGUAAAGCACUUUCGCCAGGGAUGAUAAUGACAGUACCUGGUAAAGAAACCCCGGCUAACUCCGUGCCAGCAGCCGCGGUAAUACGGAGGGGGUUAGCGUUGUUCGGAAUUACUGGGCGUAAAGCGUACGUAGGCGGAUUGGAAAGUUGGGGGUGAAAUCCCAGGGCUCAACCCUGGAACUGCCUCCAAAACUAUCAGUCUAGAGUUCGAGAGAGGUGAGUGGAAUUCCAAGUGUAGAGGUGAAAUUCGUAGAUAUUUGGAGGAACACCAGUGGCGAAGGCGGCUCACUGGCUCGAUACUGACGCUGAGGUACGAAAGUGUGGGGAGCAAACAGGAUUAGAUACCCUGGUAGUCCACACCGUAAACGAUGAAUGCCAGUCGUCGGGCAGUAUACUGUUCGGUGACACACCUAACGGAUUAAGCAUUCCGCCUGGGGAGUACGGUCGCAAGAUUAAAACUCAAAUGAAUUGACGG